rnacentral:rRNA from 1 species
CAGCCGCGGUAAUUCCAGCUCCAAUAGCGUAUAUUAAAGUUGUUGCAGUUAAAAAGCUCGUAGUUGAAUUUCGGGAUCAAUAUUUCGGUCAUGCCGUUGGUAUGCACUGUUAUCAUUGAUUUCUCACCUUCUAAAGAACCGUGAUGCCAUUAAUUUGGUGUUACGGGGAAUUAGGACUGUUACCUUGAAAAAAAUUGAGUGUUUAAAGCAGGCUCACGCUUGAAUACAUUAGCAUGGAAUAAUGAAAUAGGACAUCCGAUUCUAUUUUGUGGUUUCUAGGAUCGAAUGUAAUGAUUAAUAGGGAUAGUUGGGGCAUUAGUAUUCAAUUGUCAGAGGUGAAAUUCUGGAUUAUUGAGACUAACUAUGCGAAAGCAUUUGCCAAGGAUGUUUUCAUUAAUCAAGAACGAAAGUUAGGGAUCGAAGACGAUCAGAUACCGUCGUAGUCUUAACCUUAACCAUAAACUAUGCCGACUAGGGGAUCGGAUGAUGUUAAUUUUUAUAAUGACUCAUUCGGCGCCUUACGGGAAAC